UGCCGCUGCUGCUGCUGGAUUGCGUCAAGUGCCGCUGUUUCCUGCUUCCGCUGUUUCCUCCGUGCCCGUCGCUUGGCCUGUUUGCUCAGAACUUUUGUCCAUUCGGGUGCCGGUUCUUGAUACUUGUCCUGGUCCUGUCUGUUGUCCGUAGUCUUGUUCUUGUUUUGUCUGCGUUUGCGUUUCUUUGUCUUUUUGGCUGUCUGUGUGUCUGUGUGUUUAUCUGUUAUGUUGCUUGUCUCAUCGUUUGAGAGGGUCAAGGGUGUGUCCGUGGUCGUAGGGAUGUCUGUUUCAGAGUUUUGUGUGGUUUCGGUCUUUUUGUUUGUUUGUGUUUUGGUGUUUGUGUCUUUUGGUGUUUUUGUCAUUUUGUUUGUGUGGGUCGAAGGGUUGUUUGUUUGGGUGUCUUGUGUGUUUGUUGGUUUGUCCGUUUGUGUGGUGUCUUCGCUGUUUGGGUUUUCUGAUGUUUGGUUUAUCUGUGUUUGUGCCUGUGUUUGUUCCUGUGUCCACUGUUUUACAGCGUUCAACUUGGACAUGGGAUUUGGACCUCAAAUGAGGAAUAGUUCUUAUGUAGUAUCAAUUUACCGUGGUGUUGGAAGUGUCCGCAAUCGGAUAGUGCUAUGGAUUCAGCGCCAAAAUACGUAGCUUAAGGCUAGGUUUUGUUUUACGUUUCGUGUGUUGAUCGCGACCCCGGUCUGUGACGUCAUUGGCUGUUGUGUUGUGGGUGGUGAUGAUGUUUCAAUUGUAUCUUUUAAUAGUGUUUUUUCAUUCUGUUUCUGUUUCAGAACGAAUAAAAAAACAAUGUCAAACAAAGAAGCUGCCCAGCAGGCCAUCGCAAAGCUGAAGCGAAGUAAGUAAAGUGUACUGCAGCGAUUUAUUUUAUAUUUUAUUUACAUUUCUUUAUUCUAAACCAUUUUUUUGCAGUGCCGUGUUUGACCAUCGAAAAGCACAGCACAGCACAGCACCGGUUACCGCCGGAAUUGCCGUACCGGCUGCAUCGUCCAGCGGCAACAACAAUGAUAACGCGCAGCCCGUUGCAUUAGCUGCUGCGUCUAUGCUGCCGGCUCAAAUGCAACGGAGCAAUAUGUUAUGUUGCCGCUGGACGUAGAUAUAACCGAAGAAGAAGCAUGGGAGAACGCUUACGAAAACCCCACACCAUCUGAUGGCACAUCGACGGUCCGACCAGUCGGACAGUCAUUGUUGGUCCGACCAGCGCCAACGGAAAUAUCCGAAUUAUCCGACCAGCUGCGCAAAACCCAAUCGGAGCUGCAGAAAGUAACGGAAGCGUCGAAGGAGAUGCAAGGCCAGCUUAGUGUUUUAAUUAGCAGCUCUGCUCGGCAAAGGCAAGCAUUAGAAGAAUGCUUGGCGGCAAACCGGCCGCGGAAAGGGCUUCUCCCUCGGUCGGACUUUGAGUUAGUACCGGUGAAGAAUGAAGAAGAGCUAGCGACUCUAGAAUUGGCAUUACGGACUGAUCCAGAGUAUAAGGGAAAAGUACAGGCAUAUUUGCUGCGGCAAAUAUAUCGCGCGGAUGUAGACAAUCGCUUGCAUCAGGCAAUCGAUUUGAUUUUCGCCAAACCUUUUUUUGCCCAAAUCAAUUGGACUGGUGUCCGUCCAAUUUGUUUGUUUGUUGCCAAAUGUUUGCCGAUCGGGCGAUUCUUUCCAUCUGCGCGGAUAUAAUGCGUUGCAGUAGCUUUUCCUUAUGCCCCGGAUCUGUGCCUAUUGCCAUAUAAUUCUUCUUCAUCCUUCAGCGGUACUAAUUCAAACGUCACGCAUUCUUGUAAUUGCCUUUGCCGAACAUGUGUUGCGUUGGCUUGCCAUCUUCUGCUUCUCGCUUUGCUUUCUGCAGCUCCAAUUCGGUUUGUUUAGCAGUGGCUGGUCUGGCAAAGAGGAUAAUGGAGCGGUUCGGAAGGAAUUUAGUCGUAUCAUGCGAAAGACUGACGCUGCUUGUAGGUGGCAGCGUAACAAGCGUUGUACAACACAUCCCACUCUUAAUCUAUGAUUAUGUUUACGUGAUAGUGGAUCCCUCUUCCACUAGUUUAUCGUCCGCUAGAAACGAAACGAAACGAAUUUUGUUCGAUCUCACACGACAUAACGACAGUCAUAUAUAAAGUGAAGCCGAUAGAACCAUUAUUCUUGUACAUCACGAAAAAAGCUGUGAUAUCUUUAAAUAUAAGCAAUGUUAUAGAAGUUAGUUACGGACUACAUGAACAAACAGACUCUCGAAAAAAGCUGUGAUAUCUUAAAAUAUAAGCAAUGUAAUAGAAGCUAUUUACGGACUACAUAAACAAACAGACUCUCGAAAAAAGCUGUGAUAUCUUUAAAUAUAAGUAAUGAAAUAGAAGUUAGUUACGGACUACAUGAACAAACAAACAAAAUUGGUUUUUGUUGUUGAUGUUGAUUUUUUUUAUUUUCAGUUUUAUAUUACUCCGCAAAAGUGUGCAGCAAAGGCACUAGUGUCAAAUCGUUGCCACGCUUAGUAACAACCAUUUUGCAGAGCACUUCGUCCGUGCGAAAAUUGACGGAAGCAUUGGCCGACAGGUCAUGGAUGGAUCCCUUGAAAAUAAGCAUAUCGCUUGAAUCCAAGGGAUCAUCAAAAGCGGAUGUUGGGCGCUCCAGCUUUUGACCGAUGAUGAUGAUUUGGCCAGCAUCCGCAUCCAUGCCCAUCGCCGCUGAUUGCAUUUUGACAAUGCUGCCGUCUGUCGUCAACAACCAGCAAUUUUUAUGAUUGUUCAUCAAUGUCAGCUUUUCCCUUACGAAUACCUUUAUCAUCCUACCUCGUACGCUGUACGAUGGAUAGGUAAUUCGCAGGGCGGCCUCUUGAAUCCCGAACUGCUCCACCUCCGAUAUUCUGCCGAUCGCCUGCUCCAAACUUUU